UCCGACAUGGUGUAGUGGCCAACAUGAUGCCCUCUCAUCUCUGUGAGAGGUUAGGCAUAGCCCCGAGUUCGAUUCUCGGUUUCGGAA
rfam:Colletotrichum salicis strain CBS 607.94 Scaffold_2597.1, whole genome shotgun sequence.